rnacentral:rRNA from 1 species
UGGGGGAAUUUUGGACAAUGGGCGAAAGCCUGAUCCAGCAAUGCCGCGUGUGUGAAGAAGGCCUUCGGGUUGUAAAGCACUUUUGUCCGGAAAGAAAUCCUCGGCUCUAAUACAGUCGGGGGAUGACGGUACCGGAAGAAUAAGCACCGGCUAACUACGUGCCAGCAGCCGCGGUAAUACGUAGGGUGCAAGCGUUAAUCGGAAUUACUGGGCGUAAAGCGUGCGCAGGCGGUUUGCUAAGACCGAUGUGAAAUCCCCGGGCUCAACCUGGGAACUGCAUUGGUGACUGGCAGGCUAGAGUAUGGCAGAGGGGGGUAGAAUUCCACGUGUAGCAGUGAAAUGCGUAGAGAUGUGGAGGAAUACCGAUGGCGAAGGCAGCCCCCUGGGCCAAUACUGACGCUCAUGCACGAAAGCGUGGGGGAGCAAACAGGAUUAGAUACCCUGGUAGUCCACGCCCUAAACGAUGUCAACUGGUUGUUGGGGAUUCAUUUCCUUAGUAACGUAGCUAACGCGUGAAGUUGACCGCCU